rnacentral:rRNA from 1 species
GACGAACCGUGCGAACGUUGUUCGGAUUCACUGGGCUUAAAGGGCGCGUAGGCGGGCCAGCCAGUCUGUGGUGAAAGCCUCCAGCUUAACUGGAGAAGUGCCGUGGAUACUGCUGGCCUCGAGGAGGAUAGGGGCAUCUGGAACGGUCGGUGGAGCGGUGAAAUGCGUUGAUAUCGACCGGAACUCCGGUGGCGAAGGCGAGGUGCUGGGUCCUUUCUGACGCUGAUGCGCGAAAGCCAGGGGAGCAAACGGG